ACCAAAAAAGAAAAACGCAAAACACAAUAAUGAGGUGGUGUUUUUAUUGCGUACUCUUCAUUGCUUUUUUUUCUUUUCUUUUUUUGAACUAUUGCCAUCUACUCCU
rnacentral:ribozyme from 1 species